UGGCGACUUGUCCAGGGUGUACCCUGCCUUCCGCCCGUGUGCAGUUGGGGGAAGGCUCCAGCACCCCCCGCGACCCCGUAAGGGACAAGCGGUAGAAAAUGGAGGGAUGAAAGGCCAGCCUCUGAGAUAGCACUGUAUUUGAGCAACACUGACCCCUGUAGAAGAUAUCUGCAAGACACAUCUUGAAGAUGCGCUUCGAAAAAAUGGUCCAUCCUGUGUCUGUGGAAAAGAGCAGAGCCUGAGGCUGCAUGGAAGCGAGCAGAAAAGCAGGGUCCCACAGACAGGACUGUCCCAGCAGGCGGUACACUGUGUGAGAAGAGGUACCCCAAAAGGGCGCUUUGGUCGGUCCAAACUCACAUCAGACGACACACCAAUGGGUUAACAUCAAGCACUAGUGCCCUCCCACCAUCCACCCCCUCCCAAAAUGGACCAUCCCAUGGAUUCACAUGACGUGUGUGCAUGUGUGUGUGUGUGUGUGUGUGUGUGUCCCGGUCAUAUAUAUAUAUAUAGGACCAUGUGGGCUCCGACGUGGAGUUUAGUAGCACAGACGUUGUGUCGGCUGCAGGCCCUGCCCAAAAAAGACAAGCAUUAGCAGGAAUAUCGGUGCAUAGAACAACAGUUCUCCGCCUGUGGGAACUGAGGGACCCCUUCCACAACUCCUCCUUUUCCUCCUCUGUGAAAAGCUGCCCCCCGAAAGAAAAAAAAGAAAAAUGGGUGAUCUGCUGGAGGACGGCUCGUUCAUGUUCACGUCGGAGUCUGUGGGAGAGGGACAUCCAGACAAGAUUUGCGACCAGAUCAGCGAUGCCGUGCUGGACGCUCACCUCGAGCAGGACCCCGAUGCCAAAGUGGCCUGUGAGACGGUGUGUAAGACGGGCAUGGUGCUGCUCUGCGGAGAGAUCACGUCCCGGGCCAACGUUGACUACCAGAAGGUGGUGAGGGAGGCCAUCAAACACAUCGGCUACGACAACUCCGAUAAAGGUUUCGACUACAAAACGUGUAACGUUCUGGUGGCUUUGGAGCAGCAGAGUCCAGACAUUGCUCAGGGGGUCCAUGUGGACCGCAAGGAGGAGGACAUCGGCGCCGGAGACCAGGGUCUGAUGUUCGGCUACGCCACAGACGAGACCGAGGAGUGCAUGCCUCUCACCAUCGUCUUAGCCCACAAGCUCAACUCCAAGAUGGCGGAGCUCAGACGCAACGGUACCAUCCCUUGGCUGCGCCCGGACUCCAAAACUCAGGUGACAGUGCACUACGACCAGAAAGAUGGCGCUGUGAUCCCCAAGAGGGUCCAUACCAUCGUUGUCUCCGUGCAACACGACGACUACAUCUCUCUGGAAGAACAGAAGAAGGUCCUCAGGGAAAAGGUGAUCAAUGCGGUGGUGCCCGCCAAGUACUUGGAUGAUAAGACCGUCUACCACCUGCAGCCCAGCGGCCGCUUCGUCAUCGGUGGCCCUCAGGGAGAUGCCGGCGUCACGGGCCGCAAGAUCAUCGUGGACACGUACGGGGGCUGGGGCGCUCACGGGGGCGGAGCUUUCUCGGGCAAAGACUUCUCCAAAGUGGACCGCUCGGCCGCUUACGCCGCUCGUUGGGUGGCCAAGUCUCUGGUCAGGGCCAAGCUGUGCAGGAGGGUCCUGGUCCAGGUGUCCUACGCCAUCGGGGUGGCUCACCCUCUGUCCAUCUCGUUGUUCACCUACGGCUCGUCCAAAAAAACGGAGUCGGAGCUUCUCCACAUCGUCAACAAGAACUUUGACCUGAGGCCAGGAGUCAUUGUCAGGGAACUGCAGCUGAAGAGGCCCAUCUACCAGCAGACCGCCACCUACGGUCACUUUGGCCGGCCAGAGUUUUCCUGGGAGGUUCCCAAAAAGCUUAUUUUGUAGAACGCUCAACUUUAAUAAGCUAGAAAGAUGAAUCAAACCAAAGUUAUUCAGGGGGAUAGGAGGAUAUAUAAUGUGAAGGACAUCUAAUGGGAGACAUCUUUCUUCCUAUUAGCCUGGUGCUUAUUUCCCCGACUCCCGUUUUUUUUAAAUAAAUGUAGAUUUACAAAUCACCACAACCUCAAUGAAUGUACAAUAGACGUUUUUGUUGUUGUUGUAAUCAUUAAACCAAAGCCGUGCUCAACAAACAGGUCAAUAAAUAAGACACAGGGAGCGCGGUGGUCUGCUCUCACAAGCAUGUUACAAUCAACCAAAACUGUAAAAUAGCCUUUGCUUUAUUUUCCUAACUGCUGGGCUCCGUAUCAGUGCCUUCACACCUCGUUUGUUUGUCUGCAACUCUUCUGAUUUUAGGACUUUUUCCACUUAAACCGCUUUCUUUGUGGACCUUCAGAACAAACGCACAAGUUCAUUUAAAAGAGUCAGAACAUGUGUUUCUACGGGCAUUUUUGACUUUUUUUCACCACGUCUUAAUUCUACAGAGUAUCUUAAUUCCUCAGUGCUGAGCCUUUAUCAACAGCCCAGUGUUGUUUUUGUUUUGAAGAAUAUUACUUUUAUGACUUGUGUUGAUCCAUGUCCUUGAUACUGUCAUCUUUUUUGUUGGCAAAGUAACCGGACAGUGUAAAUAAUUAAACACAGAAAAUUAAAGAUGUCAAUUG